rnacentral:sRNA from 1 species
CGCCAAACCGCUGAUCGAGAGCUGCGAUGUCCAGAUUGUCGAACAGAUCGAGUCCGCUGUCCA